AAACACUUUUCUCUGUUGCCCUGGAGAAACAGUUUUAAAUUGCAGUGCGCAGUCUAGUUAUAUCUAGCUUAGUUACAAUAUAGUUUCAGACGUAUUUAAUGUAUGUUCCAAACAAAACAUUGAAAAUAACUUAUUAAAAAAGAGAGUUGAGGAACUUACUAUACAAAUUAAACUAGAUUUAGAUGCUCAAAAAAAUGAAUAUGUGACAAAAAUUCAAGACAUAGAGGAGAAAUAUAACUCAGAAAUAACUAAUUUACAAAAUCAGCUGGAAAGUGGAAGAAUAUGUUACGAAGCAAAAGGUAAUAAAG
rnacentral:lncRNA from 1 species